AUGACCGCAGUUAUGUUAUUUUCCAGGUUCCUCCCUUCACCACCUGCAUUCAAACCCUGGUCAUCGAGGAAGGAGCAAGUGUUUCCAAGGAGACGCUCCAAGUCUGCAGGUGUGGAGGAGCCAACCGAAGCCCUGCAAGCAAUGCAGGAUCCUGCCCAGGAGGAUCCUGCCCAGGAGGAUUCCACCCAGGAGGAUUCUGCCCAGGAGGAUUCUGCUCAGGAAGAUCCUGACGAGGAGGAUCCUGCCCAGCAGCCAGCAGAUGCAGAGGACUCCCUGGAAGCAGAGGAGCUAUCAUGCACUGCUGUGGAGUCUUGGAGGCUGGUGGGGAGGAGGGGGACUGAGUCGAUUCACAGCGGUGGGGCACCUCGACUUGGGAAUGCAGGAGUGGUCCUGCCAACCUUGCAAGUUCAUCUGAGGAUAAAGAAACGGAGUCAUCUGUAUGUUCUUCAGAAGACAAACUUUGAAAAGUGCAGUCCCAAAAUUGUCUCAGAAACUGGGAAGCUCUUUAUGAAGUUGUUUUCUCACUCUAAGCCGAUGAAUGCUUUUACAUGUGAUGAUGUGGAAUUUCAGUUACUCUGUAGGACUCAAUGAAUGAAUCGAAGAACCUACUACUGAGUGAUAAGAACCUUGAGGAUUGGCAUUGGCACACCUCGUUGAGCAAUAAAGCAGGGAAAAAAAUGUCGCCUCAGUAGAGGGGGCCCUUUCACCAUCUGCUCAGAUGCCUCAGGGGAAACCCAGGGCCCUUUUCCCCUCCAGGGGAGCCUCUCCAAACCAUGUUCAGGAGCUGGGCUGCUGCUGCCCAGCCCCGCCCUGCCUCUGCAACUGCUCUGGCGUUUUUUGCUACUCUGUGGCCUCGCAGCCCCUGCCUGCCGGGACGCCCCGCAGUUCCAGCUACCGCUGUGGCGCUUCUGUGGAGUUUCUGAUGUAUCUCGUUUACCACUCUGGGAUUUUGCUUGUCCCUGCUGUUCCAGCUUGCUGCUUCCAAGGUUGCUGCUACAGCUGAUUUCGCUAUUCGGAGGGGCACUGGGACUGGCUGCCCUGUGAGUUGUAAAGCAAGCCCCUUUUCCAUCCCUUCCACCGGUGUGUCCGCCGGCACGGGGGAACCAUCGCACGCGCCCUGCCCGGCCAGGAGCCACCAGCGCGCCCAGUGGAGCUGCACUGAGGCCGGGAGAGGCUGGGGCUGGGUUCUGCGUCUGUUUGUUGUUGCUGCCCGUGGUGUUGUUUGUUUGCAUUGCUAUACAUAUUAGUAAAGAACUGUUAUUCCUUUUUCCGUAUCUUUGCCUGAAAGCCUCUUAAUUUCAAAGUUGUAAUGAUUUGGAGGGAAGGGGGUCACAUUCUCCAUUGCAGGGAGGUCUCACAGACACCUGUCUUUCAAACCAAGACAAGCUGACAGUUAAUUUGAUGCUUUAACAGUUUAUUAACAAUAUAUUGAAGAAGUCAUAAAUAGGUAGUUGAAAGCAAAAAGAGUUCUUCACUGGAGCUUGGAAGGGUGGCUGCAGUGGUCUCUGGUGAAGAGUGGGAGACCAUCAGCAGCAUAAGCCGUGAUGCUGCCGGCUCCUUCCAGAUG
rnacentral:lncRNA from 1 species